rnacentral:rRNA from 1 species
GACGAACGCUGGCGGCGUGCUUAACACCUGCAAGUCGAACGAAGUGGCGAACGGGUGAGUAAUACGUGGGUAACCUGCCCUCCUUUUUGGGAUAAGCCUUGGAAACGGGGUCUAAUACCGAAUAAAGGGGGAUGGGUUCGCGGCCUAUCAGCUUGUUGGGGGGGUGAUGGCCUACCAAGGCGGUGACGGGUAGCCGGCCUGAGAGGGUGACCGGCAAAAUUGAGACUGGGAAACGUCCCAGACUCCUACGGGAUGCAGCAGUGGUGAGUCUUCCGCAGUGGACGAGAGUCUAACGUAGCAACGCAGGGUGAGUGAUGACGGCCGUCGGGUUGUAAAGCUCUGUUAAUCGAGACACGGUACCGGAAUAGAAAGCCACGGCUAACUACGUGCCAGCAGCCGCGGUAAUAC